CCCAACAUUUCAAGCAAUUACCGGGGAAAUACCUAGGUAUUUUCAUUUUCAUUUUCAUUUUCAUUUUCACUUUCACUUUCACCAGUUUACAAUAGAGCCGAACAGGACAAGGAUAUAUUAGGUGCCUGCUUCAAUACAAUAUAGCUAUGCUAUCCAACAUUGGCAUUGGUCGUUCCAUUUUCGAAGGCCCCUACACUCCCAGUCCUCUCACCCUCGUGACAAUAAACGCUUAUUCAACCAUGGGGGGAGUUGGCUCUUUUUAUUUAAAAAAAUAAAGUGAUCCCUCACGUUUCAACUAUUAAUAUAGGUUCUUACACAUGUGUUUCAAGCACGGGCGUCGGAAAUCUUCGCUGUGCGUUCGACAAGUUCAAAUUAUGUUGCUUUUGUUUUCCAAAGCUUAGCUUCUUUUAUUUUAUGUUUUCAUUUUGUUUGUUUGGAUUUUGCUUCUCCAGGAAAAGUUUGCGAGCAUGCUAGGUUCCCUCAGUUUUUGAGCGUGGAGAUUUUGCUCUUUUCCGCAUCUUCAUUGUUUCGAGCAAGUUGAUAUAGUAACAGAAUCGUUUCCUCAAGAAUCGAACAUCCCUUCAUCCAUUCGUCGUUCUUUUUUUUCUUUUUCUUCAUUGCUUUUUGUUUCAAGGGGGACUGAAAGCUUCCCCGGGCUCCGGCCACCAGCGCAGGCGUGUUCCGGGGGAAUGGAAAACAGGUAACUGUCAGUUACCUUUUUUUUUAUAUAUGUUUUAGCCCAGGAAGCUUAGGGAGCCUCAAUGUAAGGUUUUGCAUAUGAUCUCAGAGCAAAGGGCUGGCCUGAGGUAUAGAGGUAUGAUGCAAGGGGCUUGAAUAGUUUUUUGCCCAGGACUAAGAUCACAGGGAUUGAAGUUUUGGCUAGAAAAUACCUAGAAAAUACCUGGUUCUUUUUAUUAUUUUCACGCCUUAUGACACCUUCUCUAAUGCUAAUUGACUUAUAGUUUUGAAUAUCCAACUAGAUGUUGGCGGUGGUGAGGUGGUGGGUAUGUUAGUUGCUGAGUUGUGAUGAUAAUAGUCCUGGGUUUUCCUACAUAUUUUUUCCUUCCCGCCUAUUUUUUUUUUUUUUUUUUUUUUUUUUUUUUUUCCGUUUCGGGUUUUUUCUUGUCGUAGCAGAAGCUGUUGAGUGGGCUAGCAAUGCCGUUUUCAGCCCAUUGUCCUGAAUUGGUUUUCUUUUCUUUUCUUUUUUUUUUUCCUUUUUUUUAGGUACCAUGAUGAUCAAUGUCGCACUGCCUUGUAUUUUUGCAAAAAUGAUAAUUCCCGAUCGACCAGAAAAAAUGGGGCCCCAUGUGAAGUGUUAUUCCGCAGAGUGCCCGGUCAAGCACUGCACAUCCCCGUUCAAUUGAGCAAGGCGUACCCCGUCUAUGAGCAGAUUAUUUACCAGAUCAUGCAUGGAAAUGUUAAUCUCUUUUUAUUUAUUCUUUUUCCGGGGAGGCCGGGGACAGUCGAGUAGUUAACUUUGAUGCGACGCCCCAAAGUUCCACAUGAACCACUCACCGCCUUCAUCAAUAUCUGAAAAAGAAAACAAAAGAAAAGAAAAAUAAAAAAAAAAAUAAAAAAAGAAACCUGAAGGCCUGACUGACGCCUCGUUUCGCGGGGAAAUCGAUAGCACUACCCCGCCAAGCUCACAUCCCCCAUGCCCCCAACCAACGCCAACCAAUUCCACCCACCAUGUCACCCCAUCAUCACAGCAUUAGGCGCCCAGCUCAAGGCGCUUUUAAAAUUCCCCAUCGCGGAGGUGCUGUGUAACUCUGCUUCCUCCCUCUCAAUGACAGCCUGCCUAUCGGAUCCUUCCAACAGGUAGUAUGCAACGCAUCGUAUUAUCAUUGGCAUUCAACGAAAAUUUCCUACCCUGUCGCUCAUCCGCGACCCGCAGGCCCCUGGACGCUGAUAAACUCAGCAAUAAAUGGCCCCAUUGAUAGAUUCAUUUGCCCUCCCCUUAACAGCAAAAUCAAUUAGUUACGUACGCCAAUUAUGAGCGUUGCAAUUUAUGGAAAAAAAAAAAAAAUAAAUAAAUAAAUCCCAAAACCCUGAAUUCAAAACAUGAUGCUGUUUCGCCGUCGCAUUAAACAAGCAGAUGAAUUUUUUUUUUAAUUAUUUUUUUGAAACAUAAU
rnacentral:sRNA from 1 species